GCCAACGUAGCUUAAACAAAGCAAAACACUGAAGACGUUUAGAUGAACCUUAAAAGGCUCCAUUGACA
rnacentral:tRNA from 1 species